rnacentral:rRNA from 1 species
UACGUAGGUCCCGAGCGUUGUCCGGAAUUACUGGGUGUAAAGGGAGCGUAGGCGGGACUGCAAGUUGGGUGUCAAAUCUACCGGCUCAACCGGUAGCCGCACUCAAAACUGCAGUUCUUGAGUGAAGUAGAGGCAGGCGGAAUUCCUAGUGUAGCGGUGAAAUGCGUAGAUAUUAGGAGGAACACCAGUGGCGAAGGCGGCCUGCUGGGCUUUUACUGACGCUGAGGCUCGAAAGUGUGGGGAGCAAACGGG